rnacentral:lncRNA from 1 species
AGGGUAGGGAGGGAGGCGAGAGAAUGAUAGCCAGGCUGCAAGGGCUGCAGAAGGGCCGCGUGCCUGGGAGGCUUAGAGAGAGACUUCCGGGAUGAAAGUUGAACUCCGUGUCCUGGACUCCCCCUCUCCCCAUCCUGGGGCCUCCCAGAGGAGUUUCCCUCUUCUGUUCUUUUGGCUGUCUUCAGCGCUGUGCCUGGAGGUACCUCGAAUGCCCUCUUCAGAAGAGAGCGACGGGCGUGGCUUGUGGCCCAUUCAAGGAUGUGAAGUAGAGCGGCAGCAAUGGAUCGAUCCAUCAAUCUAUCGAUCGGCCCUGUGGUCUGUGCCUCAUUCAAGCUGUGCUCUGGCCUCCUGAGUAGUCCCAGCAGCCUUCGAAGCCACUGUGGACACCACUGUGGACCACGGGCUGCGUUUACAGUCAACAACUCUAGUUUACUGAGGAGAAAACAAGACUUUUAUUAAGCCAGUUUUGCCCAGGGCCUCUUAACCAAGAAGUGAGAGUUGGAACUUGAAUCCAGAUCCCUGUGGUUUCAAAGCCAGGCUCAUUUAUCACUCGCAAAGGCUGGUGCUGGGACACCUGCCGGGGAGCUGGUCUGCUGGCUGAGGGGUCCAGCAUCGGCUUUUCUUGGUCUCUCUAGAGCCCUGAGCUUUAAUUCUGUAGUUCACCUGUCGUGUUCCUCCAAUGUCUGCUGCACAUAUCCCUUCCCUGGAGAUGUUUGGCAUGUUAGGACACAUGUGUCAUUAUUGUUGUCUUUUACUUCACUUUGUGGGGGCGACAAGGAAGAGAAAAUGGAAAAUGCUGAUAAAGGAGAAGACAGGAAGGCAGGAAGUGUGUAAUUUUAACCCAACUUUCAGUAUCUGUGGCAAUGGGUGGCUCUGAAGACCAGGGCUAGAGUUGUGGAAAGUGGAGCUUGUGAGGGGGACAGGAAACCUGGUUCCCUUACUUUGUCAUGAGAGCCUGGGGACCCCAGUGAGGUGGCACUUUGUGCACUUUACAUGGUUCAAGUACAGAACUUGUGUCUACGGGCUAGACCUAGGGAAAAUACUGGUGACAACAUUAGUGACAGUGAGAGGCGGGGGCUACAAGUGUCCCUCUGCUGGCAGGCUGGGGAGAUGGCUCAGUGGUUAGAGAACGUGCUGAGGUCAUAUCCCCAGUACUCAUGUGUGCCUGAAAACCAGAAUCCCUUCCCUCAAGAUGCUUUAAUUUGGAGGGACUCCCCUCCCCAACUCAUUUACAAGGUGGUGAUGUCCUAACAGGUUGGAGGUCACAGGGGUCCCCCAAGCCCUUACUCUCCCCAGCCUGGGCCCCUGGAGCCUGUCUGUCCUUACCCUUCUCUUUCCACCAGGGAGCUCUGGACCCUGGCAGCAAGGGUAAGACCUCAGGAGGAUCAAGGACAGGGGACAUAACCCUGUAUUUUAACCCCUUGUUUGCCUGAUGCAAGAGGCUCUAUGACCCUUUAUCUCCCGAAUCAUUCAGAUCUUGCCUGCCUUCCUUCCUAUCACCACCAAUAAACUUAAUCUUAGAAAAUAAGCUCAGUCUGCCACGGAGCCUGCGGGGAAGCCAGGCAGGCCAGACGGUGUGGGGAGAGCUCUUCUGAAGCUGUGCUGUGUCGGGAGGGCCGAGGGAGGUGGGCAGGGUAGAAGGAGCCCUUGCUUGACAGAAAGAGGAAGCUGGGCCCAGGUCUGGUUUCCCCUCCUUCCCACACAGCCUCCAUCACAAGCCAGUUUCAUUCUUAGUUCAGUCCUUCCACAGGGUCAGCUGCUCCCCAGUCUGUGUGUUACUCCACCCCAGUCAGAGGACCUUCCACAGGGUCAGCUGCUCCCCAGUCUGUGUGUUACUCCACCCCAGUCAGAGGACCUUCCACAGGGUCAGCUGCUCCCCAGUCUGUGUGUUACUCCACCCCAGUCAGAGGACCUUCCACAGGGUCAGCUGCUCCCCAGUCUGUGUGUUACUCCACCCCAGUCAGAGGACCAAGCUGGUCCCAUCUAUUCAAGUCUGUAUCUUGGGAUCCUUGGUGGGAGGGGAAGGGAGCCCUUGCAUAAGAAAGCCAAGGUGCUGCUCAGCCUUCUGGAUAAGUCAAGAGGGCCUCACACUGCUGGGUAGCCACCACACACUGAGCCUCAGCCUUAGGGAGUGGGAUCUUAGUGGCCCUCUCCUGACUGUGCACACACCUUGGUGAGAAGCCGGUGUCUGGUUGGGAGGCUUUAAUUCCACAUAUCCUUCUCAGGGCUCAGGUAAAUUUCACUUCUCUAAUGGCAUGGACAGGUGGCACUGGCCCCUGUGUCCCUAGAACUCAAGUUGCAGAGCUGAAAUUUCAGCCUCAGAGUGAGAACCUGGGACAUCUGAGGAAACCUUGUCCCCAGCCCAUUCUAACCCAGACGCCCGCCUGUGUGCAUCCGGGACGAUCCCUACUGUGCCUGGGGGCAGGUGGCCUAUGCAUAGCAAAAGGUCUGCUUAUAUUAUUCUUUGUACAGGUGAGAGCUCUCUAUACUUGGGCCUCAAGGCUCAAUCUGACUAGGGAGUUGACAUGGGAAGUCGGUCGGAAAAAGCCACAGUGGUUGAGGCGGCAGCAAAAGCAAUGAAUUUGAUUUUUUUUUUUUUUGGAUUGAGGUAAAUAAAAAAGCUUUAUCCUGCAA